UGGAAAUGAUUAUUUAAAAAAAAUUAAAAAUAAAAUAUUAUAGAUAAAAAUUAUAUAUAUUGAGUUCUCAAAUAGAUUUUUAUCUUAUAAAAAAUAAAAAAUAAAUAAAUAAACAGUCCAUGUGUCUUCGCAAAAUUAAAUUGAAGAUACAACAAUACUUAGUCAUCAUGUGAUUUUGAUAUACAAGUGAGAAAAGACACGACUGAAUAUGAUACCUCAGGUGGGGAGAGCUGAUAAAGCUUGGCUGCCAAGUCCUCCGGGCUAAAUAUGAUGGAGGUUGGAGGAUUGUUGGACCCUCUAUCGAACGUGUACUGCGUAUCCUUGGAGGCACCCUGACGUCUCUGGUGAAGCUGUAAUCCCAUAUGAAUAUUAAGUCAUUUUUUUGAACUCAAACUGAUUAUCAAUUACAUAAUCAGUUAAGGAUGAAAUUCUCUAUACUCUGAAUUUCACUGUCAACUCAGAGAUAGCCUCCGGAUCACUCAAGCAUGGCAUAGUGCCAUUUAAGUCUUUUAAGUUUAAUAUAUUUGUGCAAAAGAGAUGUUUAAAAAAUAUUAAUAACUCACUUAUUAUAAAUUUUAAAUAUAAUUAAAAUACUUAACUCUUAUAUUUUUUACAACAUGGGAGAUGGGUAUAAAAGAAAUUCAUAAAACAUGUUUUUAUUGGAAAAAUAAUUUUUCUUAUUUUAAAGGAUGAAGGUUUAUUUUGAAUUUAGAAAUUAUUUUAAUCUCCUAAAACAAUCCUUGAGUUUAAUUGAUUUGUAAUUAAUAUUUAAAUUUUUUUUUAAAUGUUUGAAUUCAAAGGUAAAAAUGACCAAGAAAAAUGUUAAAAUUAUCUAAUCAUAGGAUAGAGGGAUCUCAUUAAUAUUAUUCUAUGUAAGAGUGUAACUUGAAUGGGUUGACUUGACCCAACACAAACAUUUUCAAUUGUUGGGUUGAGCUUGAGUUAAGUUUUAUAAACCCAAAUUUAAUUCGGUUUUGGCUCAUACUAAAGUUCAAACAACCUAAGCCUAAUCAAAACUCAAUUUAAUGUUUUUAUAAUGUUUGUUAUCAUAUAUAAUAAUAUUCAUUUUUUUUAUUUUUUUUUAACAUCAAAAUUAUAAUUAUAUUAUGUACUUUUUCAUUUUUUUAAAAGAUAUAUAAAUUUAUUUUUAUUUUGAAUUUUUUUUUCUUGUUUACUAUUUAAAUUUUGGUAUAAAUAUAUGAAAAAAAUGUUUUUUUUUUAAAUUAUUAUAGAUGAAUUUUGAAUCAAGCAAUACAAUUAAUCCGAGUCCAUCCUUAUCAACUUGAGUUCAAUCUAACCAAUUUAAGUUUAACCCGACUAACUUGAAUCAACUCAAAUUCAACUUAAAUUAACUUAAAUUCAACUCGAAUUGAGAAAAAAUGAAAUUAAGUUGGCCUAGAGUUAAGAUUUAUCAAUAUUAAUUUUCAAUUGGUAGGAAUUUGAGUGAUUUCAAUCCAUUCCAAUCCAAUUUGAUUUUUUUUCUUCUUUUUUUUUAUGGACUUGGACAACUAAAUUUGUUAUUUAUGUAAUUUGCAAAUUAUUUUUUUUUUAUUUCAAUCCAAUAAAAAACAAGUCAUUUUUUAGGUGUUUUGAGUAAUAAUUGAAAAUAUAUAUAAAAAAAAAAAUGUUUUGGAACUUUUACAUUGAGUACAAGUGUUUGAGAAGAAUUAAAAAAAAAAACAAUUUUUCAUAUUUGAGUUCUCAAAUACAAUUUUGAAACUUAGCAAACAGAUGUAAAAAUUUUCAUAAUUCUAGGCCCUCUUCAGCUGUCUACUCGAGAAAGGCUGAAAUGGAAACAUCCUUUUUGUCCAUGAAAAGAGUUUAAGAGAGAGCAUACCUCUUGAUAAACAGUGGAAAGAUUGAAAUCAGGACCCGGCAUAUAAGCAGAAACGAAAACUGCGACAGAAAUUUUCUGAGGGAACCUCUCCAUAGCAACCGAUACGCUGACCCCACCCAAGCUGUGAGCCACCAGGAUCACCUUCUCCCCGGCUACGAGUGAGGUCAUGAAUUUCAUUAAUGGUUCAUGGUAGUCUGAAAUUGAAUUAAGCUCGUCUAAUCGCUUUCCAUUGGCACCGGCAGCGGCUAGGUCCAAGGCAGUGACCUUGUGACCAGCAGAUCUUAGAAAAGUUGUCACCUUAUACCAACACCAUGCUCCAUGACAGGCUCCAUGAACCAGCACAAAAUGCCUCUCUCUUUUCUCCAUCCUCUCCUAUUGUUGCUUGUACUACUUGGUUUUUUCUUACUUUUAUGGUAUGGACCAGUUUCAUUCAGGUCCCACAAGCCUUAGAUAUUAUACGGUAUGUGGUUUAGAUUGUUUUGUUCUUGGUUCCUUGUUUAGCAAGUAGGCCUUGUGCAAGUUUGUAUUGUACGGAACAGUUUUAUUGUAAAAUUAGAUUUUUUUAUAAAAUAUAAAAAAGUUAUUGAAAUACGUAUAUAAGUAUUUUAAGUCAUAAAAAAAAAAAGUCAUGAGAUGUAGAUAAGUUUGCAAAUAGUAUAUGAGGUGGAUAGAGAUACAAAGAAGAACAUGAGGCACCCGAUGGAAUGAAAGAGCUUGUGGUAUGGUAUGGAUACAAAGAGUUGAAAAAUAUGGGAUGUUUCGAUAAUCCGAUAAUUGUAUUUAGUUCACUCCUUUGUAAUAUUCUCUGUUGUAUAGUGGAAUAAUUCUCAGUCAUCCGUGUACGUAAACAUGGUUGGUCGAACCAUGUUAAAACCUUGUAUACUAUAUAUGUGAUUGUUUUAUUUUUGUGUUUUUUAUACGAUUACUUUUAUUAGUUAUUUUCAAAUAAUGAUAACUUGAAAAUUUAUCAUAAAUAAUUAUUUUCAUUUAACUAAAUAUUGGAUUAUUUCUUCUUCCGUUCAAUUUUUAAGUAUAAACUAUGUCAUGUUAAGAAAUUUAAAAUGGAUCUAAUUUUGUUUACAAGUUAAGACAUCUUGAUUAAGGGGUAAAUAAUGAAUUAUAAUAUUUCAACUUUAAUUAAGUUGGUUUAUCAAUAUUUAAACAAAGUUGGAGAAAAAAAAAAGGACGACACCUAUAUUUUUGUCUUUCAAUAAAUUAACAUAUAGUUUUAGUCAUUACACCUAGUUAUUUCUUUUUUUUUUUCUUCUUCUUUUCUUUUCCUUUUGACACGCAAUGACAUACCUUUCAAGACUUUAAGCUCACAAAAUUUUUCAAGUCUUCUCAUCAUAUCUUUUAAAAUUCUAGUCACUCAAAGUAUUUAAUACUUUUAGCUAUAACUNNNNNNNNNNNNNNNNNNNNNNNNNNNNNNNNNNNNNNNNNNNNNNNNNNNNNNNNNNNNNNNNNNNNNNNNNNNNNNNNNNNNNNNNNNNNNNNNNNNNCUUUUAGCUAUACUAUAGAGUUUGACUAUUAAAAAAAUGAACCAAAAAUACUUUGCAAAAUAUUAAAAGUUCAUAAUUAUAUCUUUUAGCUUAAAUGUGAGUGUUAUGUGUUCGCUAGUUCACAUAUUUGCAAUAUAACCUAGGAUGGUUGAGCUUCGUAACAUGCUUAUCACAAUCAAUUCAUCCUUCUAUAAUUUUUCUUUUCCCUUUUGGUUCUACUCAUUUUAAUGCAAAAAAGAACCAAAGCAUAUUUAUUAGUUGAUUUUACCCAUGGUAACACACCUGACUAUAUGGAGUCUAGACGUGAAAAUUUUAUGCAUUUUCGGUCUAACAAGCUAUGAUACUUAGACCUAGCAUUACAUGUGAAAGAAAACAAAAAGUAAUAAUAAAAAUAUAAUUUUUGUGGGAAAAUUAAAAUUGCUAUGAAAUAUUUUAUUUUCUUAUAUGUUAUUUAGAUAUUGACAUAUUGACUUGUUAAUUAAAGUUGAAAUACUAUAAUAUUUUUUUGUCAUUUCUUUUAUCAAAAUGUCUUAGUUCAGAAAUACUUGAAAUUUAAAUUCCUUUUAAGCUUCUAUUUCUAUAAACUCCAAUUGGCUUAAGUAAUAUGAAAGUUUACAAAUGAAUUGCCUAAUUUUCUUUCCCAUGUAAUGAAGUUAAAUAUAUAUAUAUAUAUAUAUAGAUAUAGAUAUAUAAAAUGUUGUUGAUUCUGGUAAUGCAAGUUGUUUUAGAAAAUUUACCUCUUUUUUCUAACUUGACUCAAUUUUAACCAUUUGACUCAGUGAUUAAAGUAUAUAUCACUUUGAUACAAUCAUUGGUUACCGGUUGAAACCCCAUUUUUUGCCAACAUGACAACAAGCACACAUAUCCUUAAAAAAUAAAUAAGUAUCAAAUUUUAGUAAAUCAUUCUAAUACAUAAUACUAAAUGUAAUGUUGAGGCAAAUGCUAUAUUUUGAUAAGAACUUGACGAGUGUAUAGAUGAAUGAAUUGGAAAAAGUAAACAUUGGUACAACUUUGGAUUAUAAGAGAAUUAGGAAAAGAAAACAUUGAUAUAGCUUUGGAUUGUGACACGAGAAAUGCAAAAAGCUCUAGAAUGUGACAAAAGAACUAGCCAAAUGAAACGGGUAAAACAAUUCGACUUAGAAUUAUAUGCUUGUGAUACAAUAACUAAGAAUAACUUUCAACUAUUUCUUGCAAAUAAGCACAUAACUCCAAUGGCUUACAGAACAUGGGCAUGUGAUCUGAACCCAAAAUCACUUUCACCUCAUCCGUUAGAUUAUUUUUUAUCAUCCAUCGCUGAAAAUCCUCUUCUAGCACAUUAUCUUUAUCACACACAAUAUAAACUCGACGAAUCGUUCCAUACUUUUCCUUAGUCACCGUUAUUUUCUUCAGCAAAUUUUCUCCAUUGAUGGGCCUCAUCAACAUGGUUGCAAGCAUCAAAUCCUAUGCUCAAAUUCAUCAUGGUUACAACUUACAAUAGUGUUUUUAAAAAUAAAAAAUAGAAAAACAUAUUCAAUAGAAAAUAUAUUUUAAUUGCUUUUAUUUGUUUUUAAGGAUUAUUUUAAAAAAUAAUUAUAUAAAUAUACAAAUUAAUCAAAAAUAAAAUACCACUUGUAAAAAUUAUUCUUAAAAAUAUUUUAAAUUCUCAAAUAAACUUUGAUCUUAUAAAAGAUUGAAAAACAGUUCAUGUGUCUACAAAAAAUUAAAUCGAAAAAUCUGUUUUGAAAGGCACAGCAAUACUUAGUCAUUAUGUCAUUUUGAUAUAUAUACAAGUGAGAAAAGACACGACUGAAUAUGAUACCUCAGGUGGGGAGAGCUGAUAAAGCAUGGCUGCCAAGUACUCCGGGCCAAAUAUCACGGAGGUUGGAGGAUUGUUGGGCCCUCUAUCGAACGUGUACUGCGUAUCCAUGGAAGCACCCGGACUUCUCUGGUGAAGCUGU
rnacentral:lncRNA from 1 species